rnacentral:rRNA from 1 species
GACGAACGCUGGCGGCGUGCUUAACACAUGCAAGUCGAACGGUGAAGCGCCUUCCUUUUUGGUGGGUGUGGAUGAGUGGCGAACGGGUGAGUAACACGUGAGUAACCUGCCCCCUUCUUCUGGAUAACCGCAUGAAAGUGUGGCUAAUACGGGAUAUUCUGGGUCUGUCGCAUGAUGGGUCUGGGAAAGAUAUUGUUUCGGUGGGGGAUGGGCUCGCGGCCUAUCAGCUUGUUGGUGGGGUGAUGGCCUACCAAGGCGGUGACGGGUAGCCGGCCUGAGAGGGUGGACGGUCACACUGGGACUGAGACACGGCCCAGACUCCGACGGGAGGCAGCAGUGGGGAAUAUUGCACAAUGGGCGCAAGCCUGAUGCAGCGACGCCGCGUGAGGGAUGGAGGCCUUCGGGUUGGGAACCUCUUUCGCCAGUGAAGCAGGCCUGCCUCGUUUGUGGGUGGGUUGACGGUAGCUGGAUAAGAAGCGCCGGCUAACUACGU